GCUAAUUUUUUUUGUAUUUUGUAGAGAUGGGGUUUUGCCAUGUCAUCCAGGCUGGUCUCAAACUCUUGGCCUCAAGCGACCCUCUUGCAGCUUAGUGAUCCUCUGAAUUGUUGGUGGCCAGUGCUCCAAUCAGCUCUCUGGGAUGGAUGAACCUUUACUGACGUCUGUGGGUCCAAAUAUCUUUGCUCCAUUUGCAGUCAUGGCUCACUACAGCCUUGAACUCCUGGCGUCAAGUGAUCCUCCUGCCUCAGGCUCUCAAAGUGCUGGGAUUACAGAUGUGAGCCACCAUGUCCAGCCCCAGUUCUUUUUCUUUUUUUUUUUUUUUUUCAUUUUUUCUUUUUUUGAGACAGAGUCUC
rnacentral:lncRNA from 1 species